rnacentral:rRNA from 1 species
CCUACGGGAGGCAGCAGUGAGGAAUAUUGGUCAAUGGACGCAAGUCUGAACCAGCCAUGCCGCGUGCAGGAAGACGGCUCUAUGAGUUGUAAACUGCUUUUGUACGAGGGUAAACGCAGAUACGCGUAUCUGUCUGAAAGUAUCGUACGAAUAAGGAUCGGCUAACUCCGUGCCAGCAGCCGCGAUAAUACGGAGGAUUCAAGCGUUAUCCGGAUUUAUUGGGUUUAAAGGGUGCGUAGGCGGUCGGAUAAGUUAGAGGUGAAAUCCCGAGGCUCAACUUCGGAAUUGCCUCUGAUACUGUUAGGCUAGAGAGUAGUAGCGGUAGGCGGAAUGUAUGGUGUAGCGGUGAAAUGCUUAGAGAUCAUACAGAACACCGAUUGCGAAGGCAGCUUACCAAGCUACUUCUGACGUUGAGGCACGAAAGCGUGGGGAGCAAACAGGAUUAGAUACCCCUGUAGUC